UUCUCCAUGUUGUUCUCAAUGUUGAUCUCAAUGUUGUUCUACAUGUUGGUCUUCAUGUUGUUCUCCAUGUAGUUCUCCAUGUUGGUCUUCAUGUUGGUCUUCAUGUUGGUCUCCAUGUUGUUCUCCAUGUACUUCUCCAUGUUGGUCUCCAUGUUGGUCUCCAUGUUGUUCUCCAUGUACUUCUCCAUGUUGGUCUCCAUGUUGGUCUCCAUGUUGGUCUCCAUGUAGUUCUCCAUGUUGGUCUCCAUUUUGGUCUCCAUGUUGGUCUCCAUGUAGUUCUCCGUGUUGUUCUCCAUGUUGAUCUCAAUGUUGUUCUACAAGUUGUUCUCCAUGUUGGUCUUCAUGUUGGUCUCAAUGUUGUUCUCCAUGUUGUUCUCCAUGUUGGUCUUCAUGUUGGUCUUCAUGUUGUUCUCCAUGUUGAUCUCAAUGUUGUUCUACAUGUUGGUCUCCAUGUAGGUCUCCAUGUAGGUCUCCAUGUUGAUCUCCAUGUUGUUCUCCAUGUUGUUCUCCAUGUAGGUCUCCAUGUUGGUCUCCAUGUUGUUCUCCAUGUUGGUCUCCAUGUUGGUCUCCGUGUAGUUCUCCGUGUUGGUCUCCGUGUAGUUCUCCGUGUUGGUCUCCAUGUUGGUCUCCAUGUUGGUCUCCGUGUUGGUCUCCAUGUAGGUCUCCGUGUUGUUCUCCAUGUUGGUCUCCGUGUUGUUCUCCGUGUUGGUCUCCGUGUUGUUCUCCAUGUUGGUCUCCGUGUUGUUCUCCGUGUUGGUCUCCGUGUUGUUCUCCAUGUUGGUCUCCGUGUUGGUCUCCGUGUUGGUCUCCAUGUAGGUCUCCGUGUUGUUCUCCAUGUUGGUCUC
ensembl:lncRNA